UACGUAGGGGGCAAGCGUUGUCCGGAAUCAUUGGGCGUAAAGCGCGCGUAGGCGGUCCGAUAAGUCCGCUGUAAAAGUCAACGGCUCAACUGUUGAAAGCCGGUGGAUACUGUCGGGCUAGAGUACGGAAGAGGCGAGUGGAACUCCUGGUGUAGCGGUGGAAUGCGCAGAUAUCAGGAAGAACACCGACGGCGAAGGCAGCUCGCUGGGACGGUACUGACGCUGAGGUGCGAAAGCGUGGGGAGCAAACAGG
rnacentral:rRNA from 1 species